CUCACUAGAAACCAACUUGAUGGUGACCUUGAUCUUGGACUUCCAGCCUCCAGGACUGUGACAAAAUUAAUUUCUGUUGUUUAAGCCACGCGCUCUGUGCUAUUUUGUUAAGGUCCCAGAACCCCCUGGAUUCUAUCCCCAGGACCCAAGGUUAGGAAACCUUGCACCACAGACUCCACUUAUCAGCAUAAAAGAUAAACACUGGCUGUAUUCAUUUGUUAGGGCUGCCAUAACAAAGUACCACACACUGAGUGGCUUCAACAGAAAGAAGUUUGUUGUCUCACACUUCUGGAGGCUAGAAGUCCCAGUUCAAGAUGUUGACAGGGACUUUCCUUCUCAGAGCUGUGAAGAAUCUGUUCCAUGCCUGUCCGCUAGCUUCUGAUGGUUUGCUGGCAAUCUUGGGUAUUCCGUGGCUUAUAGAACCAUCACCCUGAUCUCUGCUUUCAUCUUCAUAUGGUGUUCUCCCUGUGUGCAUGUAUGUGUUCAAAUUUCCUCCCUUUAUAAUGACACUAGUCAUAUUAAAAGCCCACCCUACUCCAGUAUGACUUCAUCUUAAUGAAUUACAUCCAAAUAAGGUUGCUUUCUAGGGUACUGGGGGUUCUGCAUACAAUUUUUUUUUUGGCCACGCCACAGGGCUUGUGGGAUCUUAGUUCCCUGACCAGGGAUUGAACCUGGGCCCUCGGCAGUGAAAGUGCUGAGU